UGCCAGCAGCCGCGGUAAUACGGAGGGUGCAAGCGUUGCUAGGAAUCACUGGGCGUAAAGCGUACGCAGGCGGUUCAUUAAGUCGGGUGUGAAAGCCCAGAGCUCAACUCUGGAACUGCGCCCGAUACUGGUGGACUUGAGUACGGAAGAGGGAAGCGGAAUUCUGGGUGUAGAGGUGAAAUUCGUAGAUAUCCAGAGGAACACCAGUGGCGAAGGCAGCUUACUGGACGAUAACUGACGCUGAGGCACGAAAGCGUGGGGAGCGAAAAGGAUUAGAUA
rnacentral:rRNA from 1 species